rnacentral:rRNA from 1 species
UAGAGGAGCGUUCUGUAAGCCGUUGAAGGCGUGUUGCAAGGCGCGCUGGAGGUAUCAGAAGUGCGAAUGCUGACAUGAGUAACGAUAAGGGAAGUGAGAAGCUUCCCCGCCGGAAGACCAAGGGUUCCUGCGCAACGCUAAUCGGCGCAGGGUGAGUCGGCCCCUAAGGUGAGGUCGAAAGACGUAAUCGAUGGGAAACAGGUCAAUAUUCCUGUACCCCUGUUGGCUGCGACGGAGUGACGGAGAAGGCUAGGUCAGCGCAGCGAUGGUUGUCUGCGUUUAAGGCAGUAGGCCGGGGUUCCAGGCAAAUCCGGAACCUCAAGGCCGAGAGCUGAUGACGAUCCUCCACGGAGGAGAAGUGAUUGAUGCCCGGCUUCCAGGAAAAACUUCUAAGCUUCAGGCCAACAGGGACCGUACCCCAAACCGACACAGGUGGUCAGGUAGAGAAUACCAAGGCGCUUGAGAGAACUCGGGUGAAGGAACUAGGCAAAAUGGCACCGUAACUUCGGGAGAAGGUGCGCCGCUGCCGGUGACCGGACUUGCUCCGUGAGCUGGCGGUGGUCGAAGAUACCAGGUGGCUGCGACUGUUUAUUAAAAACACAGCACUGUGCAAACACGAAAGUGGACGUAUACGGUGUGACGCCUGCCCGGUGCCGGAAGGUUAAUUGAUGGGGUUAGAGGCAACUCGAAGCUCUUGAUCGAAGCCCCGGUAAACGGCGGCCGUAACUAUAACGGUCCUAAGGUAGCGAAAUUCCUUGUCGGGUAAGUUCCGACCUGCACGAAUGGCGUAACGAUGGCCACACUGUCUCCACCCGAGACUCAGCGAAAUUGAACUUGCUGUUAAGAUGCAGUAUACCCGCGGCUAGACGGAAAGACCCCGUGAACCUUUACUACAGCUUUGCACUGGACUUUGAAUAUAUUUGUGUAGGAUAGCUGGGAGGCUUUGAAACGCGAACGCCAGUUUGCGUGGAGCCGACCUUGAAAUACCAGCCUGGUAUGUUUGGGGUUCUAACCCAGGCCCGUUAUCCGGGUCGGGGACAGUGUAUGGCGGGUAGUUUGACUGGGGCGGUCUCCUCCCAAAGAGUAACGGAGGAGCACGAAGGUUGGCUAAGUACGGUCGGACAUCGUACGGUUAGUGUAAUGGCACAAGCCAGCUUGACUGCGAGAGGUACAUCUCGAGCAGGUACGAAAGUAGGUCAUAGUGAUCCGGUGGUUCUGAAUGGAAGGGCCAUCGCUCAACGGAUAAAAGGUACUCCGGGGAUAACAGGCUGAUACCGCCCAAGAGUUCACAUCGACGGCGGUGUUUGGCACCUCGAUGUCGGCUCAUCACAUCCUGGGGCUGAAGCCGGUCCCAAGGGUAUGGCUGUUCGCCAUUUAAAGUGGUACGCGAGCUGGGUUUAGAACGUCGUGAGACAGUUCGGUCCCUAUCUGCCGUGGACGUUGGAAGUUUGAGAAGAGCUGCUCCUAGUACGAGAGGACCGGAGUGGACGGACCACUGGUGUUCGGGUUGUGUCGCCAGACGCAUUGCCCGGUAGCUAUGUUCGGACGGGAUAACCGCUGAAAGCAUCUAAGCGGGAAGCCCCCUUCAAGAUAAGACUUCCCUGGAGAGUAGAUCUCCCUGAAGAGCCGUUAAAGACGAUGACGUUGAUAGGUUGGGUGUGUAAGUGCUGUGAGGCAUUGAGCUAACCAAUACUAAUGACUCGUGCGGCUUGACC